GAUGAACGCUGGCGGCGUGCCUAAUACAUGCAAGUCGAGCGAACGGACUAGAAGCUUGCUUCUCUGAUGUUAGCGGCGGACGGGUGAGUAACACGUGGAUAACCUACCUAUAAGACUGGGAUAACUUCGGGAAACCGGAGCUAUUACCGGAUAAUAUUUUGAACCGCCUGGUUCAAAAGUGAAAGACGGUCCUGCUGUCACUUAUAGAUGGCUCCGCGCUGCAUUAGCUAGUUGGUAAGGUAACGGCUUACCAAGGCAACGAUGCAUAGCCGACCUGAGAGGGUGAUCGGCCACACUGGAACUGAGACACGGUCCAGACUCCUACGGGAGGCAGCAGUAGGGAAUCUUCAGCAAAGGGCGAAAGCCUGACGGAGCAACGCCGCGUGAGUGAUGAAGGUCUUCGGAUCGUAAAACUCUGUUAUUAGGGAAGAACAUAUGUGUAAGUAACUGUGCACAUCUUGACGGUACCUAAUCAGAAAGCCACGGCUAACUACGUG
rnacentral:rRNA from 1 species